AGCCUUUGGGUGGAGAUAAAGGAACUUUUAGAUCUGUCCUAAAUCAAAACAGUCGAGUCUAGAUAAAAUAUCUAACACCCUUCUGACAUCUAAGGAAUGGAAAGUAGCUUCCUGUUUGAAAUGAUGUGGUUUUGGGGGAAAACAGUAAAUGAACGGUCUGGUUAAGAUGAAAUUCAGAGGACACUUUGGGUAGGAACUUGGGAUGUGGUUAUUUUAAAACCUUUUCCUUGAAAAAUACUGUAAAGGGGGGAUUUGCUAUUAGAGCCCCCCAUUCUCCCACUCUCCAUGUGGAAGUGAUGCACUCCACGAAAGCUGUUUUCAUGGAGAAGUGGAGUAGAAAACAUGUAGCUAAUGGUUCAAAGGAGUGUGUCAUAAGGCCAUUUAGGAUAAGGUUUAAAUCCCAUACUGGGGCAGGUUCUCUAACCUAUGGAUAAAGACUCAUCAGACCUUUAAGAAAUCUUGAAGUUAUGGGGUAUUCCAAAAUGGUGGAAAGAGAAGAACAGAUAGGAAGCACUUGUCGAUGGAUACACCGAAAUCUCUAACCCCAAGAAUCAUCUUGCCAUGUCUGAAGUCACAAAAUGUCCAAAUUGGGGUCCAACCAGCAUCCUGAGACAACAGGUGGUAAUCAAGAGGAAGUCUCAGCAGCAGACAAGAUGUGAAUUGAAUCAGGACACCAUCUGCUAGGAACUACAUGACAACAACUCCUUCAGAGCUUUGAUCCCAGAGGUAUAGAAAGCAAUGUAGGAGACACUGGAGUUUUGCACAGAUCAUAGAUACCUGCCAAUUAGGGAUCCAACCCUCCUGAGUAUUCUGCAGGGUGGCAAAUCCCAUGCCCCCAACAGCAUGACUUGAAAGAAAAUAACUAUUGGAUGUUACCUCUUUGAGGACCCCUUUAACACUAACCCAGAUGUUUCCUUCAGUGAAUCAGGAGACAUCAAUUUUCACUGCCAUCUUGAAAAUAAGUCUCAAAUUUUUUAUUUGUAC